UCAUUAGAUAUUGAGGCCAACACAUAGCACUUUAUUUUGUUGUAAUCAUCCAACCACUUAUCAUGAGACGUUCUCUAAUCAGCGAUUGGAUGAGUUGGAAGAGGGGCAAGGUCCUGGUCAAGGACAUAGCUAAUUUUCUUGAAACUUAAGACAAUCUUUAAAUUUUGGAGCCAAUUCUUAAAGUUAGGUCUAAUCAAUCUAUUGAUCUCUAGGAUUCAGGCUAGG
rnacentral:lncRNA from 1 species